rnacentral:lncRNA from 10 species
UGUGUGAUGUCAUUGUGGGAUGGUCAAUACACAUGCCUAUCCUCUCUCCAGAUGCAGAUGCUAAGAGGACUCCAUUCUGAUGACUGUCUAUAUCAAGGCCUCCUACCCUCAGGGAAUUGGGUGAGCUGUUCCUGUUGAUGAAGCUAUGGGGCUCUCCUAUGGGAGAUACCAGUAUUUGCAUAUGGGACUUGGUGCCUAGAUUGGAGCUGGCUUUGGGACACUCUCUACAGUGCAAGUUCAUCUAACCAUGUGCUUAGAAGCUCCAGAGUGGAGCUCUCACUCACCUGGAGGUUGCCUCAAGAGAUGACAGUCAAUCUACAAUGCAAAAUAUGCCUGCUGUGAAAUUAUUUCCUACUUGGAGAGUUUCAGCCACCUUUACAACCUAGUUCUGCCCACAAGGACACCAAUGGUCACCAGCUUGAUCACCUGGUAGAUAGGGCACUAAAGCAAGUUUUGUGGAUCCUCACCUGAUGCUUCGUCUGCUGCUUGUCAUUCAUGCUACACCCCCUUUUAAAAGUGCCUGCUUUCUGCUCCAAAAGCAAAGUGUUACCCUUAAGGCAGGAAGCCUGUACUUCUUCCCCCUAAGCUAGUUUUGGAAUAAAAAUGUCACUUUCUUUAUACCAGCCCUCACUCUUGUUAAUUAGACUCUGCAAAUAGUAAGCAACUGAACCUGUGUUUCAGUUACAGUCACAUAGGCAGGUGGCCUAAAUCCCUUUCAAAGAAGGACUGACUUCCCAGCUGGGGGUGGAUGAGAUGGGGUGUGCAGUGAGCUACUUCAGAGGCCUCUUCCUUUCCAGAGCAGCCCACGUUCUAUGAUGAAGCCCAUUGAAGGUGUAUAAGCACAUUCAUUCUGGCUUGGCACAGAACACUCCCUCUAUGGCUCCCUGCCAAAUUGGCC